UUUUACGCAACAGAUAAUUUCUUUACGAUGUAAAAUUACUCUAAUUGUUAAAUAAACGAUUUUCAAGUAUAAAUGAACGGUAAAUCAUCUUGAUGCGUGUUCUCAUUGUUAAAGGUUAUUUAGAUAAAAAACAUUCAAAGUAUAUAAUUAAUAAAGAGUCGUUAUGAGCUACUACAAUCAAACUUCCUGCUUGCUGUGGAGGUCUACGUAGCAUGGAAAUUUUUCAUUUCACAUUAAUAUGUCACCUACGGAGUCAUAACUGAUUGAUUAAUAAAAAGAUUUCUCUUUUAGUCAAAAUUUUAUCCAUUGAAAGUGACUGUACAAAUCGAAGUAAAGAAAUAUCUCUUCAAUCGGGUUUUUGAUUUUUUAAGACAGAAUCCUACUUUUAACAGUAGGCGUUAAAACAUAUGCAUGUGAAGAUAUAACAGAAAUUGUAAUUGGACUAUCCUAAUCCACGUUACUGUCUAGGUGAGUUUAAAGUAUACACUAUGCGUGAAAGCAUUUUUAUUUAGUUUACAAUAUCAAAUCAUCCGCAUCUGUUUCUCUACGGUUGAUAUCUCUUUUCUCCUUUCUUUUCAGAAGAUGCAACAUGUGAAUCCUUCAAAAUUGGAGAAAUGCAAAGGAUAAUUCCGGAUGUUAUAAAUUUCAAUUGGAACGGGUGCAUCCUUUAGCUCAAUUUGUGCAAUGCGGCAACCAACUAUAAACCAAUAUUAGAUAUCGCUUCUAAAUCAAAGAUUCUAGAAUGAAACGAAUAAGUAGAUGAUGAUCUACUUACGAUAGUUUGCAUUUGGUCCAAAUGACUCAAAAGACUAUCACAUAUUUGCCAACUUUAGCCAAAACAGAUUUCCUAGUCCUAUAGUGUGUUUGUCUUCUAUUUGACUCUUCACCCAAACGCAAUUUGUUGGAAUAUAUGGUGCGCUGUAAUUGGCAUCAUAUAUACUGUCGCUACAUAGAUCCAAAAAUUCAAUAAAAAUCCUAAGUCAUCGGCGAAAUAAGUUGCUUGAUUGAAAUGUACACAAACCAAAAUGUAUCAACAGUUAACAACUUGUUUGCUAAUGCAUACUAGUAGUGUAGUAGCAAUUUAAUAGGCUUGGGGUUUUCAUUUUCGGAUGCACAGCAUAAAGGACGUGAUCGCGACGAUAAUUUGAUUUCAAUUAUUUCACUAAAAAAAGAAGGAAAUGGUGGUCAUUGGUACACCCGUAUUAUCUGAAUGAUCAAAGGUUUCUAAAAGGCUCAAACACAAGUCCAAAGAACUCCAUGCUGCUUGUCCCUGCAUGUCUUGUCCGCCAUUGACAUAUUAGUCAAAAGCAGAAACAUGUAGCAACAAUGUAUUUUAUUAUACACAUGAAAAUGCAUCACUUAACAUCGUAAUUAUAAAAAUUUCGCUUGCU